UGUGUGUGUGUGUGUGUGUGUGUGUGUGUGAGAGAGAGAGAGAGAGAGAGAGAGCAUUUGUGUUCCUGAUAUAUUCUCCCAUGUUCAAUUCAGCCCAUUGGUUCGACAAGGUCCACAGCUGGAUAUUUUUUAGAAAGCAAGUUAAAGGCAACACAAUUGCCUAUUAUCAUGGGGACCAUGCUAAAUUGCACAUACAUUCUUGGCUAAAUAGUGAUGAUUAUUAUGCACUUUCAUGAUAGGAAAUAGUCUCCUGUGACUUUGGAGGCUCUGCCAUUUCCUGAUCACCUGUUUAUUGUCAGAUGAAUACAGAGUGUGUGUGAGUGUACAAGGUGGAGAAAGAGAGAUAGAGAGAGAGAAUGACAGAAUGAGAAAGAGAAAAAGGCUAUAGAAUGAUCAAAAGUUUGAGAAUGGCCAACCAAACCAGGAUACAUCCUUCUGAUUUUGUUUUCCUAAGAGUGAACUACAUUCCCACUGACAGAGAAAAUGACUCUGUCGCCAUAUCAGUUGUUGCUCAGCGGAGCAUUUUUUUGUCUCGGUGUUUUGACUACGGAAGCACAGGUGUGGCUUUCAAUCAUGUGUCCUUGUUUAAAAAGCUGGUGGUGACGUUGUCAGUAGCAUUAUUCAUUGCUUUUGAUAGUACUCUGGUAGUCGAUCUACUCACAUGUUGUACAUGUAUAUGUUGCCCUGCUCUAUCCUUUGCUGAUACAGCAACACAAAUGAAGUGUGGUGUGUGGUGAGUGGUGUGUGGUGUGUUUCUCGGGUGUGUGGAAUGGAAGGCUGGUUUUGUCAUUUCUCAGCAUCACUUGCUGAUUCACAGGGCCAUCACUGAACUGUUCAUGGCAAACUGCCACUCUUCACACGCUCAGGCUGACUGGCCUACUGACUGUUGCAUCGAUUAUUAUUAUUAAUAUUAUUAUGAAUGAUCAUAGUAAUAAUAUAAAUAUCAAUAAUAUUAAUGUUAUUAUUACAUUUACAGGUCCUGAAAGGUAUCUGAGUAAUGAUUUUUUUAAAAUCAUGAAAAAUAUAUCGCUUCAAUAAAUUUUUAACUAACAUGAGAAUCAGUGCAAUCCCUCCCUGAGAUACAAAAAAAAAACGUCUUGAUAAAACUAUCUUUUUCCCGGAAUUCUUUUUGUACUGGGGAAUAUGGGCAGCAUGAAUUUACCCAAAGCAGUGUUGGGGAGCUCCUAGUGGCCAUGAGGUGAAAUUACACUUUCCUUUGUUCCCGAGUUGCGGGAUCUGUUCAGACACAUUGAUAUUGCAGUCUACAUUUUGAAUGUGCAGUCGCCAAGCCCUGGCCUCAAUAGAGUUCAAGAAGAUGGGGAAUUGCCAUUGUGGGUUUGAAGGGAGGAUAUAUAUUUACGUGUGAUUCAUUUAUGUGUGAAUGCCCCAAAUUCUGAAUGUUGUAUCUGUUCUUAAUCUCUUUAUACCCCCAAUAAUUAUAGAAAAGAGUGGUGAAUAUAUCUUCAUGAGAGACUUUGUGACCCUCUGUUUUCUAAUUGUGGGGUGUCUACGUGUAAAAAGCACUCAAGUCUGUUCAGUGGAAUUAAUGGUCCUUUCUUUGGUGGUGCUUGCAUUUUUUUCUAGUUAGAGACACUUUAAUUUUAAUAAAUUUGAUUUGAAAACACAA